UGAUUGGUCACCAGAUCAUAGCUAUGCUACCUGCAACAAGGGCGGAUACAAGAGGGUAAGGAGACACCCUACUGUGAGAAGGCCAAUGUAUUUGCAGGAGUUCAAGAAUGUUGUUCAUGCAGCAGUGGUUCUGGAUGUCAGAAACAACAUCAUGGCAUCUGAUAUGGUGGUACCUACUGUAAAGCAAAAGUGGGUGAUUACUUGAUCGAAGCUGUGAAACAAGAUCAAGUGGAUGGUAACUUGGUUAAAACUGUGGAGUAAAACCAAGUUUGUAACUCUGUCGUUAUUCUCUGGUUAUGUUGUUGGCUUUGGCAACAUUUUUGACAAAAAGGGGGAGAAACCCCUGAACAAACAGAGUGGGUGUCUCUACAACAGACACUCAUGGGGCUCUACAACAGACUCUCAGGACGACAGAUUCCUCCCCUGCAGCAAUGAUGUGUGAAGUUUUUAUUUAACUUCCAUGUGUGUGAGUGUGCUGCCACUCUG
rnacentral:lncRNA from 1 species